AUCGAGCUAAGACUAAAAGUCUCCGAACGUGCAUGCCUUCCAUAUGCGCGUAUACGUGAGCCGCACAGUGAGCUGCACACAUGUGGUGGUGGUGGCCGUCAGCCGUGUUUUUUUGGCAGACAAUGGUCUGUAGCUUGCUGUGUGUUGAGGGGGGAUAGGUGACGUAUUGGGCUAGUUAGAAAGGUACGCCGCGAGCGCCUAUCCUCUCGUUAUUGGCAAAAACGGUAUCCAUUUGGUGUCUACACCCUACCUAGCUACUGCCUGGACCGUCGGUAGCUAUCAAAGGUGGGGAUAAAGCUCCUCGUCUUUACGGCGAGUCGAGUAGACUUAAUGAGUCUCAGCGAGGAGGCCACCAAAACCCAAACACAACCAGUCUUUUGUUUGAAAUGUUGUGAAGGUACUUCCUCGUGUUGUGCCUUUGAAACUGAGUAUAAAUCUUAGCGGUGGAUCACUCGGUUCGUGGAUCGAUGAAGAACGCAGCUAGCUGCGAUAACUAGUGCGAAUUGCAGACACAUUGAGCACUAAGAAUUCGAACGCACAUUGCGCCAUCGGGUUCAUUCCCGUUGGCACGUCUGGCUGAGGGUCGAAUUUGAAUAUCAAACAUCCGUGUGUUUUCCAACUCAUGGUGUAUUCGGCGAGCUAUGAUGGUGUUGUUGGCAAUGUGCUGCGUGUGUGUGUUGCGGCCUCUUUUAAGGAGAGGUCACUUCAUGUGCUCGAGGCAUGGCCGACGCGCCGACAUACCUUGCUAAGGCUUUGUGCCAUAUAUCGCUCGUAAUCAUUUGCUCCAUGCGAGGCGAUGAUGGCCGUCAAGUGUCGCUCUCUUAACCAUAGAUACGGCUCCGAGCACGUGUUUGCCAAUUGGCUAUCGGUUUGGGGUGCCCGUAUCAGAAUUGCUGGAAAUGGAAGAGAGGGUGAUGCUAGGUUGCUGUCACUAUGUUUUGACCUCAGCUCAGUCGUGACUACCCGCUGAAUUUAAGCAUAUAACUA
rnacentral:rRNA from 1 species